UGCGCGGUGGAGCAAUGGCAGCUCGCCGGCCUCAUGAGCCGGAGGCAGCAGGAUCAAAACCUGCCCGCGCAACCA
rnacentral:tRNA from 1 species